UCUAAAUAAAUUAAAGAAAAUGCAAGCAACUUUCUCUAUUAUUUUUAUAUUAUUGUCAAUUUUGUGCUGUUCACGUGGAGAAUACAAAACGACCAAAUGGCCACGUUAUCCCAAUAAAUGGUGUCGCCUCAACUAUGGACCAUAUCUGGGCGGCAGAUGCUAAAACAAGCCCAAAAUGUUAUUUACCAAGAAAUGUAUACGAUAACUGUUUACGAUUCAAGGAUGUGCUACAUUCUUAGCUCAUACCAAUAAAAUAAUCCACAAUCUAUGGCA
rnacentral:sRNA from 1 species